CUACGUGCCAGCAGCCGCGGUAAUACGUAGGUGGCAAGCGUUGUCCGGAAUUAUUGGGCGUAAAGCGCGCGCAGGCGGAUUGGUCAGUCUGUCUUAAAAGUUCGGGGCUUAACCCCGUGAUGGGAUGGAAACUGCCAAUCUAGAGUAUCGGAGAGGAAAGUGGAAUUCCUAGUGUAGCGGUGAAAUGCGUAGAUAUUAGGAAGAACACCAGUGGCGAAGGCGACUUUCUGGACGAAAACUGACGCUGAGGCGCGAAAGCCAGGGGAGCGAACGGGAUUAGAUACCCCGGUAGUCCUGGCCGUAAACGAUGGGUACUAGGUGUAGGAGGUAUCGACCCCUUCUGUGCCGGAGUUAACGCAAUAAGUACCCCGCCUGGGGAGUACGACCGCAAGGUUGAAACUCAAAGGAAUUGACGGGGGCCCGCACAAGCGGUGGAGUAUGUGGUUUAAUUCGAUGCAACGCGAAGAACCUUACCUACUCUUGACAUCCAGAGAACAUUC
rnacentral:rRNA from 1 species